GUCUGGGGUCUCCCCCUCCUUCCCUAUAGGGAUCAUUUAGGGUCUUCCAUUCCUCCCCUAUAGGGAGCAUUUGGGGUCUGGGGUCUCCCCCUCCUCCCUAUAGGGAGCAUUUGGGGUCUUCCAUUCCUUCCCUAUAGGGACCAUUUGGGGUCUCCCCCUCCUCCCUGUAGAGAUCAUUUAGGGUCUUCCAUUCCUUCCCUAUAGAGAUCAUUUAGGGUCUUCCAUUCCUCCCCUAUAGGGAGCAUUUAGGGUCUCCCCUUCCUUCCCUAUAGGGAGCAUUUGGGGUCUGGGGUCUUCCCCUCCUCCCUAUAGGGAGCAUUUAGGGUCUUCCCCUGCUUCCCUAUAGGGGCCAUUUGGGGUCUUCCCUUCCUUCCCCAUAGGGAGCAUUUGGGGUCUCCCCCUCCUCCCUAUAGAGAUCAUUUAGGGUCUUCCAUUCCUUCCCUAUAGGGAGCAUUUGGGGUCUUCCCUUCCUUCCCUAUAGGGACCAUUUGGGAUCUCCCCUUUCUUCCCUAUAGGGACCAUUUGGGGUCUCCCCCUCCUUCCCCAUAGGAACCAUUUAGGGUCUUGGGUCCUCCCUUCUUGCCCCAUAGGGGGUAUUUGGGGUCUCCCCCUCCCCUAUAGGGAUCAUUUAGGGUCUCAGCCAUGCUGUGCUCCUCCUAAUAGGAAUAGGGCCAACUGGAACAUCUCAGGCUGCCAAAGGGGAAGCUGUUAUUGACCCUAUAGGGCUGUGAUCCCAUUGGUAUAAAGGGGCUCUUUGAUGCUGUAGGAUUGAAGCUGUUAUUGACCCUAUAGGGCCGGCUGUGUGUAUAAUGGGGCUCUUUGAUGCUGUAGGAUCGAAGCUCUGCCUUCCCAUAAAGAGCCUUUGUGCCCCACAAGGAGCCAACAGAGGAACACUGACGUGCUCAAAACUCUCCUUCUCGUCCCUCAAUGUGCUGUGGGAUCUCAGCGGCACCGGCAGGAACCCGAACUGCUCCUUAUUGCACACGAACAUCUGCACCUCUAUGGGGAGACGAGGGAGAGUCAGCAACAACCCUACAAUACAACCCCAUAAACCAACCCUACAAACCAACCCCAUAAACCAACCCCAACCCCAUAAACCAACCCUAUAAACCAACCCCAACUCUAUAAACCAGCCCCAUAAACCAACCCUA
rnacentral:lncRNA from 1 species